GUAUUUUACCGAACCUGCUACGGUACUUGGUACAGAUCUUGAGCUGCCUGGUACUGUGACUAAUAGUAGGUGGGUCUCUGGUACAAUUUCAGGCGAAUGGUGUUAGACUUCAGGCAGAACCGCCCCCUUAGUCCCGUCCCUGGGCGUUCCUAAACUGUCUUUAAAACGGCAGCCAGCGUGAUACCCGGCUACAUGGCAGCAGGCGCAGGUAGAGAGCAGUGGCACAGAGGCGCAGAUAUUGAUACAUCAGCUCACAUCUUGUGGAAAAUGAUUCUGCAUUGGGGACACAGUUUGCAAGCCUGACACAAUACUGGGGUGCAGAUUGAAGAUUAGUAUUGCAGGUGAGCUGAUUGUACUUGAGGAUGCUUCUACCUGCCCACCUCAGACAGAUAUCUUGACCACCAGGAGCUCUUCAUUUCUUCCAGAUCAUGUCCGAGUCUUAUGGUGCAGCUGGCAUAGUCCUCUACAUAAAGGCCAUGAAUUGAACAAGACAUUUGUGCGAGUGCCCAUGAUGUGAGAUUUGACCUGUCAAGAUCUGUGGACAUCUUUCUGUCUUCAUAUUGUUAAUUUGCUUGAAACCAUGAAGAUUGGCAUUUGGUCAUUGAACGAGUAGGAUAACAUGACAAACAGCAUUUGAUUUUUGAAUGAGUAGGAACUUGUCUGUGUGGUCACUGCUGUGAACAUUGAAUAUGUCUGGAAACAUCUGGACAAUGCAGAGUAUGGACUAGAAAUAUGAAAGGCCAGUGAUGAAAUGGCAUGUUUCAUGUUGGGAUUUGCGUACAAAGGCACACAGUCACCCUCCAUCUGAACAGCAUUCUAAUGCUACACAAUGUGAGUGGUGUGCCAGGAAGCCACAGGACUGAAGUAGCUGAGUAAACUACAGUGGAGGGAAAAGGGUGGUGGAGAGGUGAAGGUUCACAGGGCAAAGGUGACACGACCAGGUAAUGAGAGCAGCAGGGAGCAGAUGGCUCUUCAUUGUGGAUCUGGAUGUGGAGAAGAGACAUGUGGAGGGAGUUCCAGGGAGUGGGUGCCACCAAGAUGAAGGAGCCUCACAUGGAGGAUGGGAGAGUGAGGAUAAUGGAAGUGACAUGGCACUGGAGUCACUUGGUGACACCAGCAGUGCAAGCAGGGUGCAGAGUAAAAGUAUUUUACAGGUUCAGUAGAAGAAAACAACUUUUCAUAUUCAGUAGAAUGUCAGUUGAGAUUGGGCCUACAAACAUGUGUCAUUCAGUCAUCUGGCUGGCAGCACGGGGUCCAGAGAUGGAGUCCACAGGUGAUACUACAGAGCUGUGUCUCUGUCAUCAAUGUAACAGGCACUGUCACUUGGCAGGGGAUGGGGCACAUUCAUCUUUUGACACAAUGAUGGGAUGGUAGAACACGAGACAUAAGGAGGUGCCAUCAAAUUCAAGAUUGGCUGAGUGACAAACCUCGCAUGACAGUGCAGAAUUAAGACACAUCUCCAUGCUGUAUUGGUUUUUUUUUGGUUCAAUAGUCCACUAUGGCCACCACCAACAUGUGAUCUGCCAAGCACUUCCCAGAAGGCUUGCUUCCCUCCUCUCUGUAAGGCUCCUUCAUCUUGGUGGCACCCACUCCCUGGAACUCCCUCCCCAUGACCCCUCUUCAAGUUCAGAUCCACACUGAAGAGCCACCUGCUCUUUGCUGCUCUUAUUGUCCAGUCUUGUCACCCUUCUCAUGUAACACCUAACUGGUGGGACUGCCCUGACCACCAAAACACAACUACUUUACUUUUCAUGUUGCUGCUCUUCUCUCCAUACUGGCUGCACUUCUUGUAUAGUUUUGUAACGCUGCUUUUUUGGGUUUCUAAGUCUAAAUAUGAUGGUGAAUGGGGCUUUAUAAAAUAAAGAUACUGGCUACAAUAAU